GAGCGUGUAUCCAGCCAUGCCGCUAUGUGUGAAUAAGGUCUUCCGAUUGUAAUGCACUUUAAGUUGGGAGGAAGGGUUGUAGUUAAUACUCUGCAAUUUUGACGUUACCGACAGAAUAAGCACCGGCUAACUCUGUGCCUGCAGCCGCGGUAAUACAGAGGGUGCAAGCGUUAAUCGGAAUUACUGGGCGUAAAG
rnacentral:rRNA from 1 species